CGUAAGUGUUGAGCGGGCCUCUCCGGGCGUCACGGUCCCCGGGCGGGCGCGCGUGGGUGAGUACCCCCUGCCUACGCGCGGCGGCUUCACCCUCUCGGCCCUCGUCCAGGAUGCGGAUUUCUGAAACGGAACCACGGAGAAUCAUUUCCAGUUUCUGUGCAGGUGAUAAGUAUGGUGCUUCCAUAAUACAUUUGGAUGUUUUCAGCUAAGUUGACUUCUGAACUAUGGGGUUCCUCCAAAUAUUGCCUGAACUUUGUCCUUGCACAGCCCCAGGCUCAUCUGCAAAAUCUACAGUUCAUAAUGGAGCUACUGUGCUGGCUAUUGGAAGGAGGAGAUUCUGAAGAUAGGGAGAUUCAGCUGUCGGUCUUCGAAAUUUCCUGAGGUCUGUUCAAUCUAGAUGCAAAAGACAUGGAAAAAUCAAGUGCUCAAGUGGUUUAAAUGUUUUGGAUGUUCCUAUUUAUAGACUACAGUAUUUUUCCCAUUAAAAUCCCAAGUUGUCAUUCAGAAGAAGGUUAUGUGCUUCUUGAUCACCAAUUUUAUUUGAAAUGCUAGUAUUGUAGAGUAUCACUAAACAUUUGUUGUUUUAAUCAAAGUAUAAGAAAAAUCAAUUUCAGAAGUGGACUUUUCCCCCCUAAAAUGUCUUUAUUUUGGGUUGAAUGCAUGUUUAUACCUGAAAAAGAGGUCUCAAAA